UACGUAGGGUCCGAGCGUUGUCCGGAUUUAUUGGGCGUAAAGAGCUCGUAGGCGGCUCAGUAAGUCGGAUGUGAAAACUCGGGGCUCAACCCCGAGACGCCAUCCGAUACUGCUGUGGCUUGAAUCUGGUAGGGGAGCACGGAAUUCCUGGUGUAGCGGUGAAAUGCGCAGAUAUCAGGAGGAACACCUAUGGCGAAAGCAGCUCUCUGGGACGGUACUGACGCUGAGACGCGAAAGCGUGGGGAGCGAACAGG
rnacentral:rRNA from 1 species